AAAAAGAGAAAGACAACCAGGAGAAUGGCCUGGAAUGGUGGACAUUUUCCCAGAAUGCUUUGAGGAGUCCCCACCUGCAUGACAGCUGCUCACACAAUGGAUCUUGCAGACAAAUAAAGAAAAUUAGCAAAUGGGGAAUGGGCCAAACCCUCUUCAAUGCAAAGGGAGUAAUAAAGAUAUGCUGUCUAACUCUUCCUGCCAUAGAUCAGUAACAAAAUCUUAUCUAUGAAUCACCAAUCCUGGGUGGGAAAUGCCAAUCAACAUUAAUUUGGUGCUCUGAAUGUCCUGGCAGGAGGGACAGGAGGCUAUCCUGCUAAAUCAUAUUUAAAUUAGCCAAGGUGGGCAGCUGCCUCACAGAUAAUGCUGGUGGAGAACAAUGCAAGACAGAUGAUUUACCAAUUAAAUGAAUCAAGCUUCCCAAACACUGAUGGCCUGAGGACUAGGGUGCCAUGUGUUUCUGCCAGACACAGAUCUGUUUCCACAACCAAAUUAGGCUUCAAGUUUAUAACUCAUAUGUCUAACCCUCCGUACUUUGUCUCCCGCCCCCUACACACAUACAAAGUAAAUUGCAUGUUAAUGAACAAAGCUCAGACUUUCUCCAUUUCUCCACUUGUCAAAAUCUCUUUCACUUUCGCAACCAACAGUAAAUCACACGUUCUGCUUGAACAGGCACUCAGACAAAACCCCUGCCAAAUGGCUAUCAUAGGAAAAAGGUCUUUGUCAGAGCAUAGGCAUUGUGCUUUUAAAAGGGAAAGAUAGCCCACAUGGAAAUAGGAAGGCUUGCUCUGGCUAUCCUUUUAAAAAUACAACGUGUCGGGUGCAAACUAGAAUUCAAAACUGAAUUCAAGCACCAGCUUGCAAGGGAGAGCUAAGCCAAUGAAAAGCUUAGGGGAUUAUGUAAUAAUAAUAAGUAACAUUUAGGUAGAAAAGUUUGCAGUGUGCUUUAUAGUAUCUCUUGUUUAGUCUUCAGAAAAGUGUUUAAUAUUUUUAUUAUAACCUUUGUUUUACAGAUGGAGAAUAAGAGAAGUUAAGUGGUUUUCCUAAGAUCACAUAAUUAAGACUUAUUAAUAAAAAGUUUGAUGCUCUUUCUAUUAUAACAUAGUGUCUCUCCAAAAUAUUUUCUAAUUCUGAAAUUCUGUGAGUAUAAAUCUAAAUAGCACGAAACAAUGGAGAGGCUAUUCAAGACCAUUUAUAGUUCCUAUCACAAAAAAAGAAAGAAUGAGAAGACAGGAGAGAGCAAAGAAUAAAACAAAAACUGAAACAAAAAAUAGAAACAGAAAAGAAUAAAAAAGAAAACAGAGCAUUAAAAAUGCAUUCAGAGAUUAAGAGAGAUUUGUUCACCUUGAUUUUUGCUCAAAAAGGCAGUCACACACCAAUUCAUUUCUUUUUCUUUUUUUUGUAGAGACAUAAAAGGCACACAAUGAAAUCUUAAUAAAUGUAUUGGAUGUUGCAGCAUUAACUGAUGAGCCAGACAAUGUAAAGACCUCAGACUACCAAAUGUUUUGAAAGACGAAUAGUGAAUGUGAAACUGUGAACCAAAAUAGAUUUUUAGAAUCCUUGAAAAAAUAGAGCUAGAGAAAGUCUUUGAGACCAUUGAUUGCAAAUAUUUGAGUUUACAACUGAGCAAAUGGAGAAAAGAGAAGUGACUCGUCAGUCCAACAAGUGGCAGAAUCAGAACCAGACCCCAAUGCUUGGGUCUUCUGUCCCUCCUGGCACCAAAGUCACCUAUCAUAAGUAACUUGAGUUUCAGAGGGGAAGGAAAAGACUACAAUGUCCCAGCACUGUUCCAGACACUUUUUAGGGGACUCCAAGACACCUUGUGUAAUGCCUAUUUUAAGUAGCUGGAAGAUUCUAUAGCAUGGGAAAAGCCCACUGAAGGCAAAAGUAAACAUUACCUAUUGUGGUCCUGGAAAAGAAAAUCAUCUCUCAUUUAUCUCCUGGAGCUGUUUGACGAACUUGUGCCCUGGUUUUACUUUGGGAGCCACCUUUCUCUUUCAGGUGCUGUCUCAGUGGAAUAGUCAACCAAUGUAUCCUACAUUUUGGACCAGCAGAAGGAAGUAAUGAGAACAGAAAACAAAUAAGAAUCUGCAUCUGCUCCUGUAUGGAAACCUCUCAAAGGCUUUCAGAGCUGUGACUGGACAGGAGAGAAGGGGUGGACAUCAUCUUCUGGGAAUUCAAGUAAGAACUGCUCUUUGGGACCCUUAACUGCAAUCAGAGAAAGAUUGUAACAUGUAGAAAGGAGCUUACAAGACAAAACAACAACAACAACAACACUCUUAUCCAAAAAGAGACCUUCAUUGCCAUCAUCCCUGAAGGCAUUUUUCCAGCUCCUCCUUGAAUACUUUCAGUGUUGAGCCAUUCAUUGUGUCCAGUGGUAGUCAACUCCAAUUUUGGAUGCACUAAAACCUUCUUCUGAAUACUGAAUAAGUCUGCCUCUCUACCAUUUGCCUCUGUUAAUCUAAAUAUACAAACUUCAAAUGGAAACUUUCUCAAUUGUCCCAAGUAUUUAUCUGAUUCUUCUAUGUGUCCCA
rnacentral:lncRNA from 1 species